rnacentral:rRNA from 1 species
AUUGAACGCUGGCGGCAUGCCUUACACAUGCAAGUCGAACGGUAACAGGCCGCAAGGUGCUGACGAGUGGCGAACGGGCGAGUAAUGCAUCGGAACGUGCCCAGUCGUGGGGGAUAACUGCUCGAAAGAGCAGCUAAUACCGCAUACGACCUGAGGGUGAAAGCGGGGGACCGUAAGGCCUCGCGCGAUUGGAGCGGCCGAUUUCAGAUUAGCUAGUUGGUGGGGUAAAGGCCUACCAAGGCAACGAUCUGUAGUUGGUCUGAGAGGACGACCAGCCACACUGGGACUGAGACCCGGCCCAGACUCCUACGGGAGGCAGCAGUGGGGAAUUUUGGACAAUGGGCGCAAGCCUGAUCCAGCAAUGCCGCGUGCAGGAAGAAGGCCUUCGGGUUGUAAACUGCUUUUGUCAGGGAAGAAAUCUUCUGGGCUAAUACCCCGGGAGGAUGACGGUACCUGAAGAAUAAGCACCGGCUAACUACGUGCCAGCCGCCGCGGUAACAC